rnacentral:rRNA from 1 species
UGCGAGUCCGGGUCGCCUCUCGAGGCGGCCCGGAGCCCCGGUGUCCCGGCAGUCUGCCCGGCGGUCUUGAGUACGGAGCUGGCCCGCGACUCUGUUCGCGCCCGCGACCUUGGCGAGCGACGGCCGGAACCCGUCAGGCGGACUCGUCCGCCGCGGGCCGGCCGGCGUUGUCGGUCAGGGACUCGCUCGGGCAGCGGUCUUCCAAUCCCGUCUGCGGCGCUCAAAGCUGGGCGGCCCACCCGACCCGUCUUGAAACACGGACCAAGGAGUCUAACAUGUGCGCGAGUCAUUGGGCUCGAGCUAAACCCAAGGGCGCAUUGAACGAGAAGGCGGGGCUUGCCCCCGCCGAGGGACGAUGGGGCGGCGCUCGCGUCGCCCCCGCAGUCCCGGGGCGUCUCGUCCUAGUUCCGCUCGUCGGUUCAAGGUGAGGCGCACCAAGAGCGCACACGUUGGGACCCGAAAGAUGGUGAACUAUGCCUGGCCAGGACGAAGUCAGGGGAAACCCUGAUGGAGGUCCGUAGCGAUUCUGACGUGC